rnacentral:lncRNA from 1 species
GAGAGCCGUGAUGAAUGGACUGACCAGGGGAUAAUGGCGGACAUUCUGUUGACCUCAGCCUUAAAACAGCUUUUGUUGGUGAGGUUUCUGCAAUGAUAGUUUUGGAUUGAGUUCUUAUUGAAAAGAGGCUGAAAACGAGUUCUGGGAGAGCAAAGAACGGAGCUUUGAUUUUAUUUUAUUUUUAUUUUUAUUUUUUGCCUGCUUAAUUCCAACUCAUUUGUCUCUUCUGGAUCCUGAAUUCUGGGAAGUUACAGCAUGGAAAGAUUAUGAAGUGCAUCUCAUCCAGUGAGGUUCUUUGGGACAAGAUCUUAUACCUCGUUUCUCUACCUCCCUUACCUCCUUUACUAUGUGUGGCCAAGAUAUUUGUAUCUCAUAAAAUAAGCAGCAACUUGAUACUGCAGCAGUUGAUACUGCUGGAGGCUGCCAUAGCUGCGUUUAUACCUGCUGUCCCAACAGAUUGA